rnacentral:rRNA from 1 species
GAUGAACGCUGGCGGCGUGCCUAAUACAUGCAAGUAGAACGCUGAAGGAGGAGCUUGCUCUUCUGGAUGAGUUGCGAACGGGUGAGUAACGCGUAGGUAACCUGCCUGGUAGUGGGGGAUAACUAUUGGAAACGAUAGCUAAUACCGCAUGACAACAGUUAUUGCAUGAUAACUGUUUAAAAGGGGCAACUGCUCCACUACCAGAUGGACCUGCGUUGUAUUAGCUAGUUGGUGAGGUAACGGCUCACCAAGGCGACGAUACAUAGCCGACCUGAGAGGGUGAUCGGCCACACUGGGACUGAGACACGGCCCAGACUCCUACGGGAGGCAGCAGUAGGGAAUCUUCGGCAAUGGACGGAAGUCUGACCGAGCAACGCCGCGUGAGUGAAGAAGGUUUUCGGAUCGUAAAGCUCUGUUGUAAGAGAAGAACGAGUGUGAGAGUGGAAAGUUCACACUGUGACGGUAUCUUACCAGAAAGGGACGGCUAACUACGUG